AAAUACCGCAUAUUAUGAUUUUAUGUUUGGAUAGCGAGGCAAAAUUGAUUUCGAGCAUUGAACAUUCAGGACCAGAAAUCUGCUGAAUCGCGGCAUUGCUUCCGAGUGAUUCCAUAAUUUUCUCAACCACGAUUAAAAUUACGGAUUAGAUAUUUGUUAUUUAGACAUUCUGUAACCGUACGCAACCUGAGACAAAAUGGAUACUUCUUCGGUCGUCUCGAUGGACACAAUAAGGUCGACGAAGUCCUUUGGCCCAGACGACAUACCUUCGUGUCCGAGAUGUUGGUUCCAACUGCUCACUAUUGUUACUAUGAUCAAGGCCGUCAUUGCCAGGCUAAUAUUUGGCAUCCAUUCCUUUGUGGCAAUUUGGAGAGUAACAGAUGUAAAGGGGCCGGUCUAUUGGUGUCUGGCUCUGGCACUGAUGGUUCUCAUGAUAGAGGGAGUCAUGACGAUCUGGAAAAAAAAGGGAGCCGAAUGGAAAUGGUUUUCUCCCGUGGUAUUUUUCUACUUGUGCAGUGUCGUGCCAGCUAUAUGGUUUCUCGAGCUUGACAUCCUAGAAAAGAGACUACACAAUAGGAACCUGGUGGAAAGCGGGAAACCUUCAGCGCUCAAUUUAUCCAGAUCUGUUCAGAGUCAGACGUCAUCCGAGGGUCUGUCUAUGAUCAGGGGAGUUGGGAUCUAUAUUCCCAUCCAACUAAAGGCAGAGGACUGGACGAAGGUUCUGGAACAAUUGCUCCUUCUCUUCCUCAUUGUUGGCAGAUGGCUGCUGCCUAAGGGAGACAUAACACGUGACCAGUUAUCUCAACUCUUAUUAAUUUACAGAAUAGCUGUGGUUAUUACGGAAAGAGGACAGCAGAAGAGAGACAAGGAAAAGGAGAGAGAGGAUACGGAGAUCAUGACGCUCUCACACUCAGAGAGCAAUCUAAAGUCCCGCACCGCCAGGCACUCACAUCCAGCAAUUCGUAAAUCAAAAUCAUUCGCCGGGUUACAAAAGACAAACAGCAUCAAUGAAAUGUCAAAUAAAACCAAACCCGCUCGUUCCUAUCCAGCCAUACCAAACAGUUCAUUCUCGAGGCCAGGGUUUACGGAGUAUGCUGACGAACUCUACCCCCGGCCCUUGUUGCGUCCGAGGUACCCGAAUGAGUUUCAGCUUCUCCCAGCCCGGAAUGAGCUCAGCGAUAUGGCUACGCAGGACAGUUAUUCCUCUGGGGAAAUAUCUCGUCACAGCUCUUUGGAGAGAAACUCAUUUCGGAAGGACUUCCUGCAUGAAUCUCUAAGGAGAAACUCGUUCAUUCAAUCACCAAAGAUAGACUCGUUUCAAGACUCUGACCGGUGGAACUCGAUUCGAGAAGCAACUAAACAAAAUUCUCUUCAUGAUAACAUUGUAAUGUGCGAGAAGGAUACAUUCCCGUUAGCUGCGAAUGUGGAAUUAUCAAACGUUUGAUGGCAAUAUAACUAUACAAUCCAUGGGACUGUGCAGGCUUUCUCUACAAUAAGCAUAUGAUGCUAAGGCCAAUAUAGUUGGGUAGUUAUAAAACAAGAAACACAGAAACGAAACAGAAAUGCAGAAACGAAACACAGAAACGAAAAAGAGACGGGUUUACAUGAAUGCAGGCAUAGGCGACACCCCGAUACUUUCCAUGACUAAGUCAUUGUUAUCGUCGUUAAAGUCAACUCUGGGGAUGACUCCAUCAGGCGCACGAAGGGAGUGCAGUCUAUUUGAUCAUAAUUCCUCAAAGUAUAAUAAAAGCUGAAAUGAAACGACCAAAGGCCAUUGUGCUCACCGACUAGAUAUGUCGUGGUUAGGAAUUCAUCCUGGUUAAGAACCAUUCUACAUGUAUAGUAUAUAGAUCAAACCAAAGUCGGUAUGACAUGUAAUGUAUCGUUGCUUGGAGUACCUACCAUAAAAAUGUCAUCGAAAAUAUAGUCACUAAUGAAACGGCCACGGGCCAUUGUGCUCACCAUAUAGAUAUUAGGUGGUAAGGAAUUCACCCUGGUAAAGAAACAUGCUACAUGUCUAGUGUAUACGUAGGUCAAACCAAAGUCGGUAUACGACAUGUAAUGUAUCCAUGUUUAGAGUACCUACCAUUAAAAAAUCAUUGGAAAAAGUCACUAAUAAGCGAGAUUUUGCACUUUUUACCAUUUUGGCUCACCGGUACGGUGAGUCUAUUACAACAGCACCGUGUCCGUCGUCCGUCGUCGUCGUCGUCGUCCGUUGUAUCCUAUUUCAAAAACAAUAUCACGUUUCUUAACCGCUAGGGCUAUGGACUCAAAAUUUUGUAUGCAUGACCCCCUAGGUCAGAUAACCUUUGACACUGAAUUUCGGUCCGGUCUGAUUCUUGACUUGGC